GUAUUAAUCGCUUAUUUAUUUUAUUUCAGGAAAUUGUAGAUAAAUAAAGAAAGAAGAGAAAAUGCAAGAAUAUGGAGAAAAGGAAAAGAAAAGAAGAAAUAAAGAGAGUUGGCAACUAAGGGGCACAUGGAGGGCUAUGAUCUACCCAACACACAUCACACAUGGAUGGAUUAGAUUUAGCCACCCUACCCCUAAACCCUACAUUUCUAGCUAUAAAUACCCCCACCCCUUUACUUGUA
rnacentral:lncRNA from 1 species